rnacentral:rRNA from 1 species
UGGGGAAUAUUGCACAAUGGGCGAAAGCCUGAUGCAGCGACGCCGCGUGAGGGAUGACGGCCUUCGGGUUGUAAACCUCUUUCAGUAGGGACGAAGCGCAAGUGACGGUACCUGCAGAAGAAGCACCGGCUAACUACGUGCCAGCAGCCGCGGUAAUACGUAGGGUGCGAGCGUUGUCCGGAAUUACUGGGCGUAAAGAGCUCGUAGGCGGUUUGUCACGUCGUCUGUGAAAUCCUAGGGCUUAACCCUGGACGUGCAGGCGAUACGGGCUGACUUGAGUACUACAGGGGAGACUGGAAUUUCUGGUGUAGCGGUGGAAUACACAGAUAUCAGGAAGAACACCGAUGGCGAAGGCAGGUCUCUGGGUAGUAACUGACGCUGAGGAGCGAAAGCAUGGGUAGCGAACAGG